rnacentral:lncRNA from 1 species
UUCUUUGUCCGUUUUUAUGCUAGUAUCAGAAUAUUUUAAUUACCACAGCUUUGUGAUGUAUUUAGAAAUCAGAAAUAUAAGACUUGCAACUUUGUUUUUCUUUUUCAAAAUUAUUUUGGCUACUUGGAAUCCCUUCAGCUUUAAUAUAAAUUUUAGAGUGAAUUUAUCUCCUCCUCCAAAAAAAAAAUGCCACUAGAAAUUUGAUGGUAAUUGAAUUAAAUAUGUUGAUUGCUUUGGAUAGUUUGGACAUCUUAAGCAAGUCUCUCAAUUCAUGAACACUGGCUAUCAUUCAGUUUAUUGUUUUCUUUCUUUAAUUGCUUUCAAAACAGUAUUUGUAGGAGUUUCCGUCGUUCGUUAACCACUGAGCCAUGACGGGAACUCCCUCAGGCAUUUUUCUGUUUUGAAUUUCAUUUAUUUCUGUUUUGUAUUUAUUAUUUCCUUCUUUUUGCUAGCUUUGGGUUUAUUUUGCUAUUCUUUUUCUGUUAUUAAUAUGAAAUCUUUCUCUUUUUGAAUGUAAUAUUUAAUGGUAUAAAUUUAAAUUUCCUUGUCAGCAUUGUUUUAGCAGUAUCUCUCAUGUUUUGAGAAGUUAUGUUUUCAUUUUCAAUAAGUUGUAUUUUUUAAAAUUGUCUUUGAGAAUUUUUGAGCCCUACGCUAUUUAGAAGUAUGUUGUUUAGAUUUUAGUUGAUAGAGAUUUUCCUAUUAUUUGUUACUGAUUUCUAGUUUGAUUCCAUAAUUAUGAUCAGGGAUCACAUUCUCUGUGAUUACCAUUCUUUUAAAUUUGUUCAGGUUUGUUUUAUUGCUGAAGAUACUGUCUUCAUGAGUGCUUCUUAGUCAUUUGAGUAAAGUAUGUAUUCCUUAAUUACUAGGAGGAGUGUUUUAAAUAUAUCAGGUAGACUCUCUUGGUUGAUUAUGUUCAGAUUUUUUUAUAUUCUUGGCUGAUUUUCUUUCUAGUAGUGGUAUACAAAGAAAAUUACUAGUGAUCAAGAAGGACAUUAAAUAAUGAUAAAGGAGCAAUCCACCAGGAAGACACAACGAUCCUAAAUGUGUGUGUACCAAAUAAUAGACCUGCACAUACACCAAACACAACUGAUAAGGCUGAAACAGAAAGACAGUUACGCCAUCAUUGUUGCAGACUUUAACGCUCUCCACUCUCUCUUUUGACUGAUUUAUUUACGUCGUUUACAUUUAAGGUAAUUCUUGAUAUUUUCCUCUGGUUAUUUUUCCUCUUUCUCUUUUGUCUCCUUUUUUAUGGGUUACUGAACAGUUUUUUAAGAAUUCCAUCAUGACUGACUUACAGUGGUUUUUUUCACCUGAAUCUCUUUGUGUGAUUUUCAUAGUGGUUCCUCUGGCUGUUUAAAUAUGUAUAUGUGACUUAACUGUCUACUGGUUUCAACACUUUACCAGUUAGAGUGAAGUCUAGAAACCUCAGUUCCAUUUACUUUCCCCUUACUUUCCUCAUCUGUAAAUAUCCCUAUCCUGAGUAUCUGAUGGCAUGAUUUUUCAGUUAUCCAAGGAAUUUUAAAAAUUAAUGAAAAACGUAGUCUGUUCUAGGUAUUCAUACUUCUUUUUAUUGUUUUUUUCUUCUUUUAUACUUCAAGAUUUUUUUCUUUUAUUUCUUUUGUUUGAAGAACUUCCUUUAGCCAGUCUUUAAGGGUAGGUCUGUUAAUGACAAAUUUUUUUUUAGUUUAGGUUUUCUUUGUCUAAGAAUAUUUUUAUUUCCUUUUCAUUCCUACAGGAUUAUUUCACUAGAUAUAGUAUCUGUGCUUGAUGGUUCUUUUCUUUUAGUGCCUGAAAAAUACUGUGUCACUUCCUUCUUAUUUCAGAUGGGAAAUCUGCUUUUAUUUAUAUUGGUUUUCCCCCAUAGAUAAUUUGUCAUUUCUCUCAGGUUAAUUUUAAGAUUUUUUUUCUUCUUUAUUAGCUUUCAAAAGCUGAUUACUUUGUUUCCUUCUUUGUUGUUGAAUUUUUAUGGGCGUGUUUGUAACUCCAAACACUUACCUAACUCUCCAGAUACCAACUGAAUGUCCCACAAUUUAGUUGUGACACUAACUGCUUGGAGUUAGUGCAGACCCCACAAUUAAGGGCUUAGUCCCAGACGAUUGCUCCCAUCUCAGAUGCCGGUCUCAAAUAUUGGGUACCCAGAUUACCUAGCAUCUCUGUCCAACUUGGCUACUCGGGCUAAGAGUGAGGGCCCUCUUUUGGGUCAUUGACCUUUCAUUGUGCCCUCAGAUGGCAGAAGGAGCAAGGAAACUCUAGAACUUCCCUAAAGCCCUGCUUCUUAAUGCCAUCACAUUGAGUAUUAGGAUUUCAACAUAGAAAUUUUACAAGGGGGACACAAACAUUCAGACUAUAGACAGUGUAAGGUAAAAAAAUCCAACUUUAUUCUUUUGCAUGUGUUUAUCCAGUUUUCCUAGCACCAUUUGUUGAAAGCUAUGUCCACUGGCAAUCUUGUCAAAAGUUAUUUGACCCCUAAAUGUGAAGAGUGUAUUCCUGGACUCUGUUGUGUUCCAUUAAUUUAUAUGCUUGUCUGUAAGCCAAUACUAAACUGUUUUGAUCACUGUGACUUUGUGGUAAGUUUUGAAGUCAGGAGGCGUAAAACCUGCACCUCUUUGUUCUUCUUUAUUAAGAUUGUUUUGGCUCUUUGGGGUCAAUUGAGAUUCUGUGUGAAUUUCAGGGUGAAUUUUUCUGUGUCUUCAAUGAACAUCAUUGGGAUUUUGAUAAAGAUAUAUUAAAUCUGCUUUGGGUAGUAUUGACAUUUUAACAAUAAUAAGUCUCCUGAUUCAUGAACAGUGAAUGUCUUUCCAUUUGUUUUUAUUGUCUUUACUUUCUUUUGGCAAUAUUCAUAGUUUUUAAGUCUUUGGCCUCCUUGGUUAAGUUUAUUCCUAUAUGUUGUAUUCUUUUUGAUGUUAUUAAAAAUGAGAUUGUUGUCUCAAAUUUUUUUGGACUGAUCAUUGUACAGAAAUGCAGUUAAUUUUUGCAUAAUUUUUUUCUAUAUGAUUGUUUUUAUUUUCCAGUUUUAUUGAGAUACAGUUGAUAUACAUCACUGUAUAAGUUUAGGUAUGCAGCAUAGCAUUUUGCCUUACAUGUGCUAUAAAAUGACAACCACGGUAAGUUUUACUAAUAUCUAUCACCUCGUAUAAUU